AUUGAACGCUGGCGGCAGGCCUAACACAUGCAAGUCGAACGAGUGGCGGACGGGUGAGUAAUGUCUGGGAAACUGCCCGAUGGAGGGGGAUAACUACUGGAAACGGUAGCUAAUACCGCAUACCAUCGGAUGUGCCCAGAUGGGAUUAGCUAGUAGGUGGGGUAACGGCCCACCAAGGCGACGAUCCGUAACUGGUCUGAGAGGAUGAUCAGCCAAACUGGGACUGAGACACGGUCCAGACUCCUACGGGAGGCAGCAGUGGGGAAUAUUGGACAAUGGGCGAAAGCCUGAUGCAGCCAUGCCGCGUGUAUGAAGAAGGUCUUCGGGUUGUAAAGCACUUUAAGUUGGGAGGCGUUACCAACAGAAGAAGCACCGGCUAACUUCGUGCCAGCAGCCGCGGUAAUAC
rnacentral:rRNA from 1 species